rnacentral:rRNA from 1 species
GGGUUGUGAGGUUAAGCGACUAAGCGUACACGGUGGAUGCCCUGGCAGUCAGAGGCGAUGAAGGACGUGCUAAUCUGCGAUAAGCGCCGGUAAGGUGAUAUGAACCGUUAUAACCGGCGAUUUCCGAAUGGGGAAACCCAGUGUGAUUCGUCACACUAUCAUUAACUGAAUCCAUAGGUUAAUGAGGCGAACCGGGGGAACUGAAACAUCUAAGUACCCCGAGGAAAAGAAAUCAACCGAGAUUCCCCCAGUAGCGGCGAGCGAACGGGGAGGAGCCCAGAGCCUGAAUCAGCAUGUGUGUUAGUGGAAGCGUCUGGAAAGGUGCGCGAUACAGGGUGACAGCCCCGUACACAAAAGCGCAUGUGCUGUGAGCUCGAUGAGUAGGGCGGGACACGUGGUAUCCUGUCUGAAUAUGGGGGGACCAUCCUCCAAGGCUAAAUACUCCUGACUGACCGAUAGUGAACCAGUACCGUGAGGGAAAGGCGAAAAGAACCCCGGCGAGGGGAGUGAAAAAGAACCUGAAACCGUGUACGUACAAGCAGUGGGAGCACCCUUCGGGGUGUGACUGCGUACCUUUUGUAUAAUGGGUCAGCGACUUAUAUUCUGUAGCAAGGUUAACCGUAUAGGGGAGCCGGAGGGAAACCGAGUCUUAACCGGGCGUUAAGUUGCAGGGUAUAGACCCGAAACCCGGUGAUCUAGCCAUGGGCAGGUUGAAGGUUGGGUAACACUAACUGGAGGACCGAACCGACUAAUGUUGAAAAAUUAGCGGAUGACCUGUGGCU